rnacentral:rRNA from 1 species
GACGAACGCUGGCGGCGUGCCUAAUACAUGCAAGUCGAGCGCAGGAAACUGACGGAACUCUUCGGAGGGAAGGCAGCGGAAUGAGCGGCGGACGGGUGAGUAACACGUAAGGAACCUGCCUCAAGGAUUGGGAUAACUCCGAGAAAUCGGAGCUAAUACCGGAAAGUUCAACGGACCGCAUGGUACGCUGAUGAAAGGCGCUUCGGCGUCACCUUGAGAUGGCCUUGCGGUGCAUUAGCUAGUUGGUGGGGUAACGGCCCACCAAGGCGACGAUGCAUAGCCGACCUGAGAGGGUGAUCGGCCACACUGGGACUGAGACACGGCCCAGACUCCUACGGGAGGCAGCAGUAGGGAAUCUUCCACAAUGGACGAAAGUCUGAUGGAGCAACGCCGCGUGAGUGAUGAAGGUUUUCGGAUCGUAAAACUCUGUUGUAAGGGAGGAACACGUACGAGAGGAAAUGCUCGUACCUUGACGGUACCUUACGAGAAAGCCACGGCUAACUACGUGCCAGCAGCCGCCGUAA